GGGGAAUUAGCUCAGCUGGCUAGAGCGUCUCAAUGGCAUUGAGAAGGUCGGGGGUUCGACUCCCCCAUUCUCCA
rnacentral:tRNA from 2 species